GAUGAACGCUAGCGGCAGGCCUAACACAUGCAAGUCGAGGGGCAGCACAAGAAGUAGCUUGCUACUUUUGGUGGCGACCGGCGCACGGGUGCGUAACGCGUAUGCAACCUACCCAUAACAGGGGGAUAACACUGAGAAAUUGGUACUAAUACCCCAUAAUAUCAUUAAUGGCAUCAUUGAUGGUUGAAAACUCAGGUGGUUAUGGAUGGGCAUGCGUUGUAUUAGCUAGUUGGUGAGGUAACGGCUCACCAAGGCGACGAUACAUAGGGGGACUGAGAGGUUAACCCCCCACAUUGGUACUGAGACACGGACCAAACUCCUACGGGAGGCAGCAGUGAGGAAUAUUGGUCAAUGGACGCAAGUCUGAACCAGCCAUGCCGCGUGCAGGAUGACGGCUCUAUGAGUUGUAAACUGCUUUUGAUAUGGGGAUAAAUGAUCCUACGUGUAGGAUUUUGCAGGUACCGCAUGAAUAAGGACCGG
rnacentral:rRNA from 1 species